CUGAUGCUGGAACUUACUACUGUGCUGUAGCUGCAUGUGGAGAGAUACUGUUUGGGAAUGGAACUAAACUGGACUUAACUGGAGAGAAAAGUAAUCUGGACCCAACUAUUAUUGCUUUGGCAACAUCGAACAUCCUGUCCAUAUUUAUGAUUUUAUUUUUGUGCAAAAAGUUACACAACACUCAUCAUAAAGAUUCUGCUGAAGGUCGAGCUCAAGUACACCAGACUGAAGAAACUGGAGAUCUGAACUACGCAGCUCUCAGCUUUACUCAGCCUCCCUCCUCAAGAAGAAGCAGAACAAAGAACAGCGAUGAUCAGUCUGUGUACUCACAAGUGAAGAGCCAUCAAUAAAAUCAUCAUUAAUAUUAAUAUUUUACCAUUUUACCAUAUCAUUGUAAACUCUGUAAACAGUAUUCAUUUCAUAAAUAU